rnacentral:rRNA from 1 species
GAUGAACGCUGGCGGCGUGCCUAAUACAUGCAAGUCGAGCGAACAGACGAGGAGCUUGCUCCUCUGACGUUAGCGGCGGACGGGUGAGUAACACGUGGAUAACCUACCUAUAAGACUGGGAUAACUUCGGGAAACCGGAGCUAAUACCGGAUAAUAUAUUGAACCGCAUGGUUCAAUAGUGAAAGACGGUUUUGCUGUCACUUAUAGAUGGAUCCGCGCCGCAUUAGCUAGUUGGUAAGGUAACGGCUUACCAAGGCGACGAUGCGUAGCCGACCUGAGAGGGUGAUCGGCCACACUGGAACUGAGACACGGUCCAGACUCCUACGGGAGGCAGCAGUAGGGAAUCUUCCGCAAAGGGCGGAAGCCUGACGGAGCAACGCCGCGUGAGUGAUGAAGGUCUUCGGAUCGUAAAACUCUGUUAUUAGGGAAGAACAAAUGUGUAAGUAACUAUGCACGUCUUGACGGUACCUAAUCAGAAAGCCACGGCUAACUACGUG